rnacentral:rRNA from 1 species
AUUGACCGCUUGCGGCAGGCCUAACACAUGCAAGUCGAGCGAGCGGCGGACGGGUGAGUAAUGUAUGGGGACUGCCCGAUAGAGGGGGAUAACUACUGGAAACGGUAGCUAAUACCGCAUACUAUCGGAUAACCCAUAUGGGAUUAGCUAGUAGGUGAGGUAAUGGCUCACCUAGGCGACGAUCCCUAGCUGGUAUGAGAGGAUGUUCAGCCACACUGGGACUGAGACACGGCCCAGACUCCUACGGAGGCAGCAGUGGGUAAUAUUGCACAAGGGGCGCAAGCCUGAUGCAGCCAUGCCGCGUGUAUGAAGAAGUCCCUAGGGUUGUAAAGUACUUUCAGUCUGGAGGCGUUACCGACAGGAGAAGAGCCGGCUAACUCAGUGCCAGCAGCCGCGGUAAUAC